rnacentral:lncRNA from 1 species
AAAAAUCAGACGCGUAUGCUACACAUGAAUUGGAAAAGGAAAAAGGCACAAUCAAAGUUAAAGGGAAAAUAGAAAUAAUUGAGGGAAUCUUCAAUGACUUUAAGGUCUUGGUUGCUUAGAUCUAGUAGCGAGGAUGUCUGUUCCGAGGUUGGAUAUUUCCGGCGAGGUUGCUGGCGAGUCCUCUGUUCUCUUGGUCGAGUUGUUCUUGUUGAAUUCCCACCCUUGUAUUCAAGAAGUGUUUCUGAUAUAAAAGGUCCGUUCCAUCUCACCUUUUGUCAAUUGCUAUCUUAUUUGGUGUUGGAAUGAUAUAUUUAGCCAAAUUCCUUGUUUGUGAUAUUCUGUUCAUAAUUGAAAUUGCUCAUAGUUGGCUGGAGCUAACUCACUACUUGAUGUAAUUAGGAUAAAAUGCUAGUUUGUUUACAUUCUUAUUUUAAUUUUAUGUUGGCAUUGUUUUGAAAAUGAUGUAAUUGCUAUCAAGAAGAUCAAUAACGUGUUUUCAAAUAGAAUUGAUUCGUUGAGAACACUAAGAGAAUUGAAGCUUUUGCGGCACAUUAGGUAUGAGAAUGUGGUUGCUUUGAAGGAUGUGAUGAUGCCUAUUCAUAGA